rnacentral:SRP_RNA from 1 species
AUAUCACGCGGACAAUGAAUACGCUCUUCUCUCGGACAUGCAAGACGCAUUCCAGAUUCUACUUCGCAUCAUCUCCAUUAAUGAUGAGAAGUAGGCAGAUAAGGUAUCUCUUGCUGCAUAGAUAUGUCCACCGUUGGAAACAAAAAAAUAACCAAAAU